rnacentral:rRNA from 1 species
UACGAAGGGGGCUAGCGUUGCUCGGAAUUACUGGGCGUAAAGGGCGCGUAGGCGGGUCGUUAAGUUAGAGGUGAAAGCCCAGGGCUCAACCCUGGAAUUGCCUUUAAUACUGGUGACCUAGAGUAUGACAGAGGUGUGUGGAACUCCGAGUGUAGAGGUGAAAUUCGUAGAUAUUCGGAAGAACACCAGUGGCGAAGGCGACACACUGGGUCAUUACUGACGCUGAGGCGCGAAAGCGUGGGGAGCAAACAGG